rnacentral:rRNA from 3 species
GGACUACACGGGUUUCUAAUCCCGUUUGCUCCCCUAGCUUUCGCGCCUCAGCGUCAGAAGAGGUCCAGUACGUCGCUUUCGCCACCGGCGUUCCUUCUGAUAUCAACGCAUUUCACCGCUUCACCAGAAGUUCCACAUACCCCUACCUCCCUCGAGCUCGCCAGUAUCAAAGGCACUUCCACAGUUAAGCUGUGGGAUUUCACCACUGACUUGGCAAGCCGCCUACGCGCCCUUUAAGCCCAGUGAUUCCGAACAACGUUCGCACGGUUCGUCUUACCGCGGCGGCUGGCAC